CUCGAGAAAAUCAAGAGCAUCGCCGAAGUCCUUCAGAGCCUUCUCGUCCAGCUUCGUGGCCCCGCUGAACAUCACUGGAUACUAAACAAAAGAUACUCGUCACGAUUUGGACAAUUGAAAAGUGACAUGUCGUUUCACGACUUUAAUGCAAAAAAAAAAAAAAGAAACGGACGGCAUGCGGGUAUGAUGUUGGGGGUCCAGCUUUUCAUCAGAAGACAGCUAGAAGAUAUUCGCCCCCAAUUUACCGGUGGCAAACGGUGGAGCAGGUUCCAGUGCGAGUCGUGAUUCUGCUCUAGUUUCCUCGUUCACGUUCUGGGGGCUGGGCGUGGUAGAACCAGUGCCGCUUUUUUCCAAUCCAGUGGCGAUAUCCACGUUAUUGCUAGUUUGCGUUGUCAACUGAGGACAAACCAUGGUGCAGCGUUCCGUGUUUCUGGAAUUAACGUGAGCGAUAUACAACAUUCCACCGACUGUGGCCAGAAUUAUCAGAGUGUUCAACAAGGAUACCCAAGCUACUGGUUUCACUCUUUCGAUACACAUACGAGCCAUUAUCUUGGAGACUGUCAACCUACACCAUGGCCGGAAAUUUUAAAUUGUUGGAAAAUGGUGACAUCUGCAUCCGUUAAAUUCCGAAAUUUAUUAAACGCCAAUUUUUAGAAAUACUAUUCAACCACCAAGAAAAUCUAAUUAAAUGUGGAAUCAUCUUAAAAUUUGAAGAAACAAACAACAAUGGUGAACAACAGCAACCUGGCCAUCUGCUUACGCCCUCAGUCAGUAAGUUGAUGACCACAAUCUGCAAAGGUAGCUC